UUGGAGCUGGUACAUUUUAAUUACUUGCUGUCUUCACUGGAGUGCAGUGCUGCAAGCUCGAAGUGUGAUCCGUAGUAGCUGUUAUUCAAUACCAUUACUUUGAUUUCAUACAUCAAUCAGUGUAUACAAUGCCACUUCAAGAUGAACACACCUAAUAUCAGCUUACCCCCAAGCCAUCCAAGAGAUGCUCUUAAGGACAACGCCCUGAUGUCCAAGGUCAAUCAGCAAGAAGCUGAGAAGGCACUGUCAAAUUGGUUCACUGGGGCAAGGGACAGAGGAGGACAGAGAGCAUCAAGAAUGCAGAAAAGGAUGUCUGUUUGAGAAAGGUUAUAACUACAGUUGCUGAUUUGAACUGUCAUA